rnacentral:sRNA from 1 species
GAUGAGAAGCUUCGAUUAAGGUUCGACUCGAGCGGAAGCGAGAGAACGUUGCCAACGGCAACGGCCCGAAGGGCGCGACGCGCCGAGUCAUCCUUCCCCUACCAUAA